ensembl:lncRNA novel transcript, antisense to FAM178B
UUGGCUGGAGUGCCUGGUGCCCCAAGAGGUGUCUCCUCAGCUCCUGGCCCUUUAGGUCCUUCAGACAUCCCACCUGAGAGGGAGCCGCGUCCUCUCCAGCCAUGUCCCCCUCCUGGCGAUCAUGGCCUGACCGCCGCCCACCUUCACGCUGCUGUCUGCCUCCCAGCUCCAGCCCAGGCUCCGGAUGCGACCUUCAUCUUGCCUCUUGUUCCUUCCUCCAGGUUUGGUGCCCUUCUGAAAUCUCCAGGUUGACUGGGCCUUGACUGCCUCCUUCCAGACCUUCUGGCCUCACCCGCCCACAGUGAGAGCUCUCUGUGACACUCUGAGCUCCGAAGAAUCCAACCUGCCCGAGGGUGGGCAGGAUUCAGCCAUGAGUGAAAGAGAACUGGGGGAGGAAGCUUGGAGCUGCGGCAGGAGCUCGAGGGAGAUGUGGGUGGAGACAGAACGGCUGUUUUAAGCUCUUAUCCCCAGUGCGCAAGGACCUGACGAGCGUGAGGCUGCUCUCUCCCUAGCCUGUCUGCACUUCCGCUCCAUCAGUCAGUUCCUCCUUGGUGGCCACACAGAACCUGCUUGGCUGGCUGCUCCAGACAUAAGAACACUGAGAGGAUCCUGGGGUGCUCCAGAAUUCACAGGAAGAUGGAGAACCUGGCCAAGGGGUGUGGAGCAGCAGGGUCCCUGGCCAGAAAAGCCUGUGAGGACUGCCGUCCCUGAGUCCUUUCCUCAGGAGCAUCCAAGUGGUUAGGCCUGGGUCUCGCUCCCAGAGGUGGAACAAAGGAGUGCCUGACUCCCGGCUUCUGUGCAGAGGAGGGUGCGAGGAAGACGCCUCCUCAACACAGGAAGGAAGCCCACACCCCCCGCAAACCUCAAUGUAUUUCCAUCACAGGAAGAGAUCAGAAGAGAGCCAAACAUUGUUGGCUUUUACUUAUUUGCCAAAUAUUUACUCAGCACCCGUGAUAUUCUAGUCCACGCUCUGUUCUGGGUGCUGAGGAUGCAGACAUGGGGGAGAUGGACGGGGCCCUCCCGCCCAGGGAGCUCAUACUCAUGGGGAGGGCUGGUCAUAGUUCACUUCUGGUCCUGGUAGUCCGUGGAGAAAAAUGAAGGAAAGGGAGGUUGUGCAGAGCCCUGAGGUGGCAGCUCAUUUGGAAAAAAGGAUCAGGUGAAACCUCUCUGAGGCAGUGACAUGUGAGCAGAGACCACCAUGAUGAGAAGGGGGGAGUCUCCUACCAACGUGCGGGCAUGAGGGAGGGUGGGCAUCAAGACACAAGUGCCCAGUGCACCGCAGGGACAGGGAGAAGAAGAGCAGAGGGCAGGGCCACACCGCAAAGGGGCCUUAGCGGCCACCUUAAAGACUCCAGGCUUCCUUCCAAGAUGAUGCAAAGUCUUGGAAGAUUCUGGAGCAGGGAAGUGACUCAAUUGCUUAUGACAGUUCUUUUAUGGUUCAGUGUUUUAGGUGUCAUCAUAAUGUUGUAAUUAUGUUUUAAAAUACCCACCAAGGGCUGGGCACUGUGGCUCAUGCCUGUGAUCUCAGCACUUUGGGAAGCCAAGGUGGGAGGAUCACUUGAGCCCAGGGGUCUAAGACCAGGCUGGGGAACACAGGGAGAUCCUGUCUCUACAAAAACUUAAAGAAGUUAGCUAGGUGGGAUGGUGCAUGCCUGUAGUCCCA